CACGACAAAGGCAAAUCCGUCGAAAGACGGAGACGCGCAGCCCUUGACGCGUCGGCGUUGCGCUGAUGCGUCUGGUACUCUAGAUACUGCAUAUCUGCUCGCUCGCACUCUCCACAUGACGCAUUGGGAUGCCCAAAGCAAAGCUGCUGUUU
rnacentral:ncRNA from 1 species